UCCUCGUUAGUAUAGUGGACAGUAUCUCGCCUGUCACGCUGGGAAGGACCGGGGUUCGAUUCCGCCCGGGAG